rnacentral:rRNA from 1 species
UGAGGAAUAUUGGUCAAUGGGCGAGAGCCUGAACCAGCCAAGUAGCGUGCAGGAUGACGGCCCUAUGGGUUGUAAACUGCUUUUAUGUGGGGAUAAAGUGCGUGACGUGUCAUGCAUUGCAGGUACCACAUGAAUAAGGACCGGCUAAUUCCGUGCCAGCAGCCGCGGUAAUACGGAAGGUCCGGGCGUUAUCCGGAUUUAUUGGGUUUAAAGGGAGCGUAGGCUGUCUAUUAAGCGUGUUGUGAAAUUUACCGGCUCAACCGGUGGCUUGCAGCGCGAACUGGUCGACUUGAGUAUGCAGGAAGUAGGCGGAAUUCAUGGUGUAGCGGUGAAAUGCUUAGAUAUCAUGACGAACUCCGAUUGCGCAGGCAGCUUACUGCAGCAUAACUGACGCUGAUGCUCGAAAGUGCGGGUAUCAAACAGG